AAGUCAUAACAAGGUUUCUGUAGGUGAACCUGCAGAAGGAUCAUUAUUGAAUUAUAAAAUGGGGAGUCGCUUUCGAGCACUCUUCUACUAUUCUUUAUUCCUAACACCUGUGAAUCGUUGCUGAGUUUGCUCAGUGGCACAUUUUUUAUAAGACACACAUAUAGUUUUGAACGUAAAAACAAAAACAAAAUAUAA
rnacentral:misc_RNA from 1 species